CAGCUCUGUGGGGUGAAGUGAGUGUGUCCAUGUGUGUCUUAUGACUGCCAGAAGGGAAAUGUGCAACAGGGUUGCCAGAUCCCAGAAGAGAAAACAAGCAACCCAGACUGUCCAGAGCUCCGGAAGUGACAGCCACUAUUCUAGAAAGAGACCAUUUGAUGCUGGGAUCAAGCCACACCUGGUUUGUUUCAAGCUUAAUGCUGCACAUCAUUACUGUAAAAGAUGAGAACCUAGCAACUAGGUACUUUCCACUACUAUUCGCAACAGAAUGCUCACUUCAUGGCUGUUUCUGUGGGUCUUGUGGUCCUUCAAUAAGCUUUUAAUGAGGAAGUAACAUGCUGUGGAUCACAGUUAGUGGAGCGCCACUGCUAAAAGCUACUGAUUGUGUCUGUGGCCAUGGUGAUCAGUAUAGAUAGUUCACUUUGAAUGUUUGGUGAUUGCAUUUGUAGUGAACACCUCUAGCAGUGACAGUUGCCUGGUGGUACUAGAUGCGAAGUCAGGGGUGUCAUCAAAAUCUUCAGGGUUUGUCUUCUGGUGACCUUGAAUAUCUACGGGAAACUAUCAAUUCUAAGUACUUCGUGAACCAAAAAUGAAAGGGUUCCCCCUUUGCAGAGCAUGAAUGUCAUGGCAACAUGCUCGUUAGAACCUGAUGUUUCUGGGAUAUUAGUCAGAUUUUUUAGGCUGGUGGUAGUGUUACAGGGGAAGGUCAGGAAGUCUGCAGAAACAUUAAGAUUCAUCUUUUGGGGACGAUAUUUAUCUGCUUCACAUUUUAUGGAAAUCUUUUUUAUGGAAGUCCUGACUCAAAGUGUUGGAUAAUGGGAAAUUUUGACUGUGUAGAAGGUGGGGCUCUGGCAACUCUUUGCUGCUCUAUUCCCCCAUAUUUUCUCCCCUCCUGUUUUCUUCCUUUUUGCCUAAAGCAGAAGAUGUAGAAGUUAUACAAAAAAAAUAUAACUCUCAGUGAUUGGGUCAAAAGGGCAAAUCCGCAGUGCGUCCUGGGCUCCACAAAUCCAUAGUUUGUGCUCCGAGUGCUCUCACUGAACCCUGCAGUAAAUGCGUGUGUCAGCCCACAGCUGUCAAAAGCAAACUCAAAUACAAACAGUACAGUCUAGCGAGUACAAACAAGUGCUUCCCACAAUUGACCUCCUCCACGGUGAUUGUCUGUCUGGUUUAUAUCAAAGAUGGUGUACACCCACAGACCAAAAUGCGUAGAAAUAUCAGAAUCCAAUGCUGAAACUUAAAGGUGUUUCCUUUUCUCAAACUCCUGGUUUACAGUGUCAAAAGAAGCAGUUGUGUCAUGCUGUGGGGCCUGUGUGUGUUUAUAGAGAGCACCACAAAAACCACUGGUGUGAAUGUCUUUUUCUGUGGGACAUUUGGUGUCAUUUCUCAGAAGCACAACUUUAGCAAAAUCACAUUUUCAUGUCUUGUCAUCAAUUCCUUCCUCUUCUUUUGAGGGCUUUUCUUUGUGACAUGUCCCUCUCUGCUUCCCCUUUCUUCUGAAAGAGUAUCUCAUUCUUAACAUCUUUUUUAUUUUAGGACAGGAGAGUGGUAAUAAGGGGUGGGUAGUGUGAUUUCUAUGGUGUUUUUAACUACCGCCUUUACAUUGUUCUCAUAAAUGACCACUUUUUACCAAUAGGUCAAACCAUUGAAUCCAAUUAGUAACAUAGAUUUUCAUACAGCAUACAGGGCUUUAAGAACUCUUGCUGAACAUUAAGCAGACAAAAAAGUAAUGAUUAAAUAUGGGCAUAGUGUACCGAUCAUCUUUACGUGAAAUUAUUCCCACACUUGUGUCAUAUGACUCUUGAGUUUCCCUUAAUAAACCACCCUUAAUUUAUCUCACUCUUAAUUUAACAGUUAUGGUAAAUAUAUUACAUUUAUACAAUAUUUAUACAUUUGUACAAUAGCUUUUUUUGUACAUGCAUUUCUGACUAAAGUUACACUGUGUAAUCUGAAGAUUUCCUGCUCUUCAUAUCUUAAAUAAAAGGGCCUGUGGCAUCUAACCGGUAACUGUCUUAACUA